UACUCAUCUUAAAUUCGAAUA
rnacentral:piRNA from 1 species